rnacentral:rRNA from 2 species
CCUGGCUCAGGACGAACGCUGGCGGCGUGCCUAAUACAUGCAAGUCGAGCGGAGAUUUGAAAAGCUUGCUUUUCAAAUCUUAGCGGCGGACGGGUGAGUAACACGUGGGCAACCUGCCCUUGAGACGGGGAUAACUCCGGGAAACCGGAGCUAAUACCGGAUAACACAUAUCUUCGCAUGAGGAUAUGUUAGAAGGUGGCUUUUAGCUACCACUCAAGGAUGGGCCCGCGGCGCAUUAGCUAGUUGGUGAGGUAACGGCUCACCAAGGCGACGAUGCGUAGCCGACCUGAGAGGGUGAUCGGCCACACUGGGACUGAGACACGGCCCAGACUCCUACGGGAGGCAGCAGUAGGGAAUCUUCCGCAAUGGACGAAAGUCUGACGGAGCAACGCCGCGUGAGUGAUGAAGGUUUUCGGAUCGUAAAGCUCUGUUGUUAGGGAAGAACAAGUAACGCUGUUAAAUAAGCAGGUACCUUGACGG